AAGCAUACCCUCCUCAUUUUCUGAACCCUAAAAUUUUCUCUCGUUCCUCACAACUUGCAGUGCUGUGCCUUCCUCGAAAUUUUUCUCACAUGCUUCCGAUCUCCUUCGUCAUCUCUCCCGAUCAUCCUUGGUCUUCUCUUUCAAUCAUCCUUCGUCAUUUUUUCUUCUUCCUUUGUUAGCAUCACAGGUUAACCAAUUCUUCAUUAAUUUCUUUUUCUUCGCAAUAUUGUUAUGGAUUAGGGUUAUGCUUUUGUUUGUUUCAUUAAGCUUGUGAAAUGUCUCUCAAUCAAGUUCAUGUGAAAAGAAAGAAAGCAGAAUGGUGUGAUAAAAAUACUGAGAUUAUGUUGAAAGUGUGCAUAGAAGAGGUGAAUGCUGGAAAUAAACCUCACAACCACUUCACUAAGCUUGGUUGGGCAAAUAUUGUAGAAAAGUUCAAUAAGGCAACAAAUUUGAGAUAUGAAUAUAAACAAUUCAGAAAUAGGUGGGAUUGUUUGAAAAAGGAAUGGCAAUUAUGGGCUAAGCUUAUUGGGAAGGACACAGGUCUUGGCUGAGAUGGGGAGAAAAAAACCAUUGCAGCUAGUGAUGAAUGGUGGGAAGCGAAAAUUCAGGAGGAUCCUGAAGUAGCCAAGUUUAGAGAGCAAGGCCUCAAAUUCUUACCUGAGAUGGAAUUCCUUUUUAAGGGUACUAUUGCUACUGGUUUUGCAGCAUAUGCACCAUCUGAAGAUUCAAGACAAUAUGAAGGAUUCAACACAAGAACAGAAGAGACAAAUGAUAACAUUGAUGAUAACACUGACAUGGAAGUGAAUGAGCCUGAGAUAGACACGACAACUCAAAACACAUCUUCGGCAAAGGAAAAUGGACAGAGGAAGAGAGGGUGAUAAAAGAAUUGGGGUUGCUGCCAAGCUUUCCUCACAAUUAGAUCGUAUUAUUCAAACAUUUGAAUCUAGUGUAUCUUCUCAAGACCCAACUAGCAUUACUGCAUGUGUAGCAAAGUUGAAAGAUCUACCAGGACUUGAGCGUGGGCGUGAACUAUUUUACAAAGCCACUAAACUUAUGAAAAAAAGGGCAAACAAGAUAUUUAUGGACUAUUGUUUGUGAACUAUUUUACAAAGCUACACUACCACUAAUGUCAUGGUUGUUUGUGACUUUAGCAUGUGUUUCACUUUUGUUUGGGCAGGUUGGGAAGGUUCUGCACAUGAUACUAAGAUAUUUAUGGAGGCUUUACAUAAGCCUGCAUUGCAUUUUCGACAUCCUCCUCAAGGUAAAUAUUAUCUUGUUGAUUCUGGUUAUCCUACUUUUAUGGGUUUUCUAGGACCGUACAAGAAAACUAGGUAUCAUCUCCCGCAAUUUAGAAUUGGGCCUAGAAUCAGGGAAAGAGUUGAAGUUUUUAAUUAUUAUCAUUCCAGUCUUCGAAGUACAAUUGAACGUGCAUUUGGUUUAUGUAAAGCAAGAUGGAAGAUAUUGGGUAAUAUGCCACCUUUUGCUUUGAAGACACAAAACCAAAUCAUUGUUGCUUGCAUGGCUAUACAAACUUCAUUCAAAGAAAUGACAAGAGUGAUGGAGAAUUUGAUUCGCUAGAUGAAGAUAAUGAAGAUAUAGAUAGUGAUGAGGAUGGAAGUGAAGUUGGUCCUAGUACUACAACAUGGGAAGAACCGGAUGCUCAAAGUACUCUACAAAUGGAACGAUUUAGAGAAUCUCUGAAGAAUAUGUUUCCAACACGUAUUUAAUUUCUUUAUUUUUUUAAUACUAUAAGGAUGCAUGUUUAUGGUAUGAGUACAUUUGAACAAUUUUCUAUUGAAAGACAUUAU